AACGAACGCUGGCGGCGUGUUUAAGACAUGCAAGUCGCACGGAGGCAUUUAUGUAGCAAUACACGGAUGUCUGAGUGGCGCACGGGUGAGUAACACGUGAAUGACAUGCCCUUCAGUGGGGGAUAGCCCAGGGAAACUUGGAUUAAUACCCCAUGGUCUCGCGAGAGUAAAGGUGGCGCAAGCUGCCGCUGGAGGAUUGGUUCGCGUUCUAUCAGCUAGUUGGCGGGGUAACGGCCCACCAAGGCUACGACGGAUACCUGGUCUGAGAGGACGAUCAGGCACACUGGAACUGAGACACGGUCCAGACACCUACGGGUGGCAGCAGUCGAGAAUAAUUCACAAUGGGGGCAACCCUGAUGGUGCAACGCCGCGUGGAGGAUGAAGGUCUUCGGAUUGUAAACUCCUGUCAUCCGGGAGCAAGACCUGGCGGUCAAUAGCCGACAGGGUUGAUAGUACCGGAAGAGGAAGGGACGGCUAACUUCGUGCCAGCAGCCGCAGUAAUAC
rnacentral:rRNA from 1 species